rnacentral:rRNA from 1 species
CCUAGUGGUGGGGGAUAACGUUCGGAAACGGACGCUAAUACCGCAUACGUCCUACGGGAGAAAGCGGGGGACCUUCGGGCCUCGCGCCAUUAGAUGAGCCUAGGUCGGAUUAGCUAGUUGGUGAGGUAAUGGCUCACCAAGGCGACGAUCCGUAACUGGUCUGAGAGGAUGAUCAGUCACACUGGAACUGAGACACGGUCCAGACUCCUACGGGAGGCAGCAGUGGGGAAUAUUGGACAAUGGGCGAAAGCCUGAUCCAGCCAUGCCGCGUGUGUGAAGAAGGUCUUCGGAUUGUAAAGCACUUUAAGUUGGGAGGAAGGGUAGUAACUUAAUACGUUGCUACUUUGACGUUACCGACAGAAUAAGCACCGGCUAACUUCGUGCCAGCAGCCGCGGUAAUACGAAGGGUGCAAGCGUUAAUCGGAAUUACUGGGCGUAAAGCGCGCGUAG